rnacentral:rRNA from 1 species
GUUGACCUCGGAUCAGGUAGGACUACCCGCUGAACUUAAGCAUAUCAAUAAGCGGAGGAAAAGAAACCAACAGGGAUUGCCCCAGUAACGGCGAGUGAAGCGGCAACAGCUCAAAUUUGAAAUCUGGCCCCAGGCCCGAGUUGUAAUUUGCAGAGGAUGCUUUUGGCGCGGUGCCUUCCGAGUUCCCUGGAACGGGACGCCAUAGAGGGUGAGAGCCCCGUACGGUUGGACACCAAGCCUUUGUAAAGCUCCUUCGACGAGUCGAGUAGUUUGGGAAUGCUGCUCUAAAUGGGAGGUACAUUUCUUCUAAAGCUAAAUAUUGACCAGAGACCGAUAGCGCACAAGUAGAGUGAUCGAAAGAUGAAAAGCACUUUGAAAAGAGGGUUAAACAGCACGUGAAAAUGUAAAAGGGAAGCGCUUGUGACCAGACUUGCGUCCGGUGAAUCACCCAGCUCUCGCGGCUGGGGCACUUCGCCGGCACAGGCCAGCAUCAGCUUGCCGUCGGGGACAAAAGCUUCAGGAACGUGGCUCCUCUCGGGGAGUGUUAUAGCCUGUUGCAUAAUACCCUUCGGCGGGCUGAGGUACGCGCUCCGCAAGGAUGCUGGCGUAAUGGUCAUCAGCGAC